rnacentral:lncRNA from 1 species
GAAAAACUAGUGCACAAAUUUAUUUUAAUAAGCUGGAUAUGCAGCAUAAAUAUUUAUCAUUAUAUUUUUUAUUUAUUUAUUUUUAUCUGUUCUGAUGUCGUCUACUUUCCUACCUGGAAGAGGAGCUGAGUGAGCAAGGGCAGCCUGAAUGCCUCAAACUCCUGGGGAAUUUUCUCUCUUGGAAGCCAGUGGCAGCUUUACAUCUUUGUGUUAAUGUGUGACCAGGAAUAUGCCAAUUUGAUUCACUGCUCUGGAAAUACAGGCAGAAAUGUCAGUAAGAAAUUGGCAGGGUUCUACAGCCGUGGUCUGGCUUUGCCAUUCAAAGUUUAUCAUUCUGCUGAGAAAGCCUUGAGGAUUCCCAAAGCAGUGAUGUGAAAAUCAAGCUUCUUCUUCCGGACCCACAAGACACCCAGAAUUUUCCUUUAUCAGCUGUUUCUUAUUACUUCUACAUCCAAGGUGCUGUUUACCUCAGGCCUCUCGUUCUGCAUCAGUGUCAUCCUCACCUCGGAAUGAGAGGCAAACUCUCCUCACACUAAAAACAGCAGUGCCAAACAGUGAGAGCUGUGGAAACUCAUCUGGGGACAGGCUGGGCCAUCUCUGGAUGGACGAGCAUCUUCUUCCACUGCAGUCCUUGUGGUCAGUAGUGCUCUUCACUGGGGACAGAAAAUGGAAAUUUGGCUGUGUGUAAUAAUAAUAAUUACAAUGAUGUUGAUUAUGAUGGAAAUAAAAAUAAGAAACAGAAGAAGGUAGACCA